rnacentral:rRNA from 1 species
AUUGAACGCUGGCGGCAUGCCUUACACAUGCAAGUCGAACGGCAGCACGGGUGCUUGCACCUGGUGGCGAGUGGCGAACGGGUGAGUAAUACAUCGGAACGUACCUUAUCGUGGGGGAUAACGCAGCGAAAGCUGUGCUAAUACCGCAUACGCCCUGAGGGGGAAAGCGGGGGAUCGCAAGACCUCGCGCGAUUAGAGCGGCCGAUGCCUGAUUAGCUUGUUGGUGGGGUAAAAGCCCACCAAGGCGACGAUCAGUAGCUGGUCUGAGAGGACGGACAGCCACACUGGGACUGAGGCACGGCCCAGACGCCUCCGGGAGGCAGCAGUGGUGGAUUUGGGACAAUGGGGGCAACCCUGAUCCGGCAAUGCCGCGUGAGUGAAGAAGGCCUUCGGGCUGUAAAGCUCUUUUGUCAGGGAAGAAACACCGGCUCUAACACAGUCUGGGAAUGACGGUACCUGAAGAAUAAGCACCGGCUAACUACGUGCCAGCCGCCGCCGUAA